GACGGAGGGGGCAAGCGUUGUCCGGACUCACUGGGCGUAAAGGGUGCGCAGGCGGUCGUGCAAGUCGCGUGUGAAAGCCCCCGGCUCAACUGGGGAGGGUCACGCGAUACUGCUCGACUCGAAGGCAGGAGAGGGAAGUGGAAUUCCCGGUGUAGUGGUGAAAUGCGUAGAUAUCGGGAGGAACACCAGUGGCGAAGGCGGCUUCCUGGACCGGUUCUGACACUGAGGAGCGAAAGCGUGGGGAGCGAUCCGG
rnacentral:rRNA from 1 species